GCAGGUGGCGCAGCGGGCGUGCUGGGCCCAUAACCCCAGAGGUCGAUGGAUCGAAACCAUCCUCUGCA
rnacentral:tRNA from 1 species